CCAGUUAUUUCAUUCAACAGUGCAAUUCAAAAGACAGCAUUAGAUGAAAAGCCCAAACUGGGAUUUCUUUUCCUCCUGGCCCCAUUUGGCUCUAUUAUCUGUAUUGAUAUAAACCCCAAUGAAAUGAUCACAGAGAUAGUCUGUCUGACAGUCUCGACUCGCCCAUCCAGAUAAGAGACUGUGGGACUUUAACCGGCCAGUCACCAGCACAGCCAAUGGGAUAAAGGUUUUCAGUUUGUUACUGCAAGGGUCCUCCUGCUAGGCCCUGUUUUCUCUUUUUUAUGUGUAAACCCAUUUCCUUAAAUGUCCCCUAACUACACACCCACAUCCACCUAUACACAUCCACACACAGACCAUCACAUGUGUUGAGUGCAUGACAGUAGGAAAGCCCCAAACACAGCGCUAUCUCUGUUUAUGCCAGUGGACUUUCUUCGGUGCACUAUGGAGCUUCAUGGCUAAAGAUAUGUUACACAACGCUUCAAGAAAUCAUGCAGUUGCAACUACGACUCCGCUCACACAGGUAAGAUUCAUCCACAGAGCUGUGAGCUUCUCUACUCAGCGUUCCAUUCUGAACAUGUCAUUUCUUCUCUCUCCCAAGGAUUGAAGAGUUGCGAUGAAGGUGUCGGCAGCAGUUGUGCUGGUUUUGAUCAGUGCGGCUUGCCAUGGCUAUGAGGAGCAUGUGGCCCUGGAGAACAGCCUAUUAGAAGCCUGGGGACUGGACGAGACUGACCCCUGGGAUUCCCUGAGGGGGUUAGGGGCUGAGGUGCACCGAGCAUUUACACAUGCAUUGGCCGGUGAUGUCAGGAACGAGAUCUCUGGGGGGGUUGACACGGCCGUCCGCUUUGGGAUGUCCAUGUUGAACGACGCAAGAGAUACGGGGGAGAGCGUGUGGGAGCAGAUCUCGGAGGAGGCGGAAAAGCUGGCCAGUCAGCUGGAGGAGGACAUGAGCCGCCGGUUGGAGGCCAUCGAGAGUCACGCCGAGGCCUACACUCAGGAGGCGCGCAGGAAGAUCGACCAGAAUCUACUGGAGAUCCAGAAGAACACCAUCCCUGUGGUCCAGACCUUCCAGGGCCAGCUGGCCCAGACGGCGCUGAAUAUCCGCACGAGCGCCGAGUUCUUUAUCGGAGAGUUUGCGUCACUCUGGGAACCUGCUCUACAACAAGAUUAA
rnacentral:lncRNA from 1 species